rnacentral:piRNA from 1 species
UGGCAAUACGAACAUUUCGGGCGUCGC